GAUGAACGCUGGCGGCGUGCCUAAUACAUGCAAGUCGAGCGAACAGACGAGGAGCUUGCUCCUCUGACGUUAGCGGCGGACGGGUGAGUAACACGUGGAUAACCUACCUAUAAGACUGGGAUAACUUCGGGAAACCGGAGCUAAUACCGGAUAAUAUAUUGAACCGCAGGGUUCAAUAGUGAAAGACGGUUUUGCUGUAACUUAUAGAUGGAUCCGCGCCGCAUUAGCUAGUUGGUAAGGUAACGGCUUACCAAGGCAACGAUGCGUAGCCGACCUGAGAGGGUGGUCGGCCACCCUGGAACUGGGCCACGGUCCAGGCUCCUACGGGAGGCAGCAGUAGGGAAUCUUCCGCAAUGGGCGAAAGCCUGACGGAGCAACGCCGCGUGAGUGAUGAAGGUCUUCGGAUCGUAAAACUCUGUUAUUAGUGAAGAACAAAUGUGUAAGUAACUAUGCACGUCUUGACGGUACCUAAUCAGAAAGCCCCGGCUAACUACGUG
rnacentral:rRNA from 1 species